UUUUGUAAAACUACAAAUGCCCUGAUGCCAUAGCAGUCAGCCAGGCCAAUCAAAGGGUGUCCAAUUGUUAUACUCCUGCAGAUUGGUUUCCACUCUUCCUCAGUCUGCCAGGGUUUAACAUGGCGCUGCCUUGCCCAAUCCAAAACCACCAUCCCCUGCGUGGACCCGCCUUCGCCGCGCCUGCCAGCCAAUAGGAAGGGCCAUAUCCAAUCGUUGCCGAAGCACUUUUGGCAGCCAUUUUAGAGACUGGAGAGUCCUUCGCGAGGGCUGGAUGUGGGCGGAGGCUUGAGGGCCUUGUUCUUGUCGCGAAUACCUUCGAGAUGCAACUGUUGAGCCUGCCUACGUUGGUAAAAGAAGCACUGUGCCAUGGAGGGUGCCUCUACUGACAACCUUACCCUUCAGAGCAAGGGCGUCCGGUCCAUGCCAGGAUGAGCACCCCCUCAGCUGGACAGCUGAGCCACCACCAAUAGCAACUCUGUCAAAAGUAGGCAGGCUCAUUAUAAGUUUCAAAAGUAGUGAGUUAUCUAAUUGGUACUUUGGUCACAUCUUCAUUGCAGAAGAAAAAUCUUGUUGAUUAAAAUGAAGUUAUUCAAAUAUUUCAUUAAAGUAAGACUGUCAGUGUGUAAAGAAUAUAAAUUAGGAAGCAUGUUCAUAAGUAAAACUUGAACUCGUCCUUCUGUCAGUAUUGCUAAUCUGGGCUUCUUUUACUUAGCAGUGUAUUAAUCAUUGGACAAUUUGGCACUGCUGUGUUGUUGAAAAGAUUUGGGAUAUUUUUUGAAAUUUUCCACAAUUUCACUAUUGACAGGAAGCCUUAGUCAGAAUCCACCUCCUGAAAAAAUGUAACUGUACUUUCAUUUGAUAUACAGUAGAGUCUCACUUAUCCAACACUCACUUAUCCAACGUUCUGGAUAUUUUUGUAGUCAAUGUUUUCAAUACAUUGUGAUAAUUUGGUGCUAAAUUCGUAAAUACAGUAAUUACUACAUAGCAUUACUGUGUAUUGAACUACUUUUUCUGUCAAAUUUGUUGUAUAACAUGAUGUUUUGCUGCUUAAUUUGUAAAAUUAUAACCUAAUUUGAUGUUUAAUAGGCUUUUCCUUAAUCCCUCUUUAUUAUCCAACAUAUUCACUUAUCCAACGUUCUGCCGGUCCGUUUAUGUUGGAUAAGUGAGACUCUACUGUAAUGGAGCAGGCUAGGAUAGCUGAGGCUGGGAAAAUGAGGAUAGUAAUAGGAGAUUAGAUUGGUUUUAAUGAUUGUUAAAACGUUACAUUGUGAGUUUACCAUUCCAUAUACAGAAAUAAAUGGGCCAGAUUAGUUUAUAAUAUAAAUCCUAUUACAACACAAUCUUACAAUAGGAAUUUCAAUAAAAUACAAGACUUGUUAAAAUCCUGAAAAAUAAUUUCAGUUAAAAUAAAUUGAUUUUUGCAUGGUUACAAAGACUUCUGAAUGAAAACAAAAUGUAAUAACAAAUUCAUAUUCUAUACUAUGUAAAAUUUAAAAAAAUGUAAACUUUCCAAUUUUGGCAAAUAAAGUAGGAAGAGUACGCAAACAUAUAAUUUCUCUCUGUGUGUGUGCUGCUUUGAAAACUCACUGUAGGGUUGAAAAGUAGAAUGUAAGUUAUUUAAGGUAUUAAUUCAGGUCUGUACAUGUUUUGCAGCUACAGUAGGCACAAUAUAUUUGCAGGUUCAAGGACCCUGUGGGGAUACAAAAAACAUGGAUGACCAUGCCUAUGUUAUUAAAUGACAGUAGAAAGAAC
ensembl:lncRNA